rnacentral:rRNA from 3 species
AAAUUGAAGAGUUUGAUCAUGGCUCAGAUUGAACGCUGGCGGCAGGCCUAACACAUGCAAGUCGAACGGUAACAGGAAGCAGCUUGCUGCUUCGCUGACGAGUGGCGGACGGGUGAGUAAUGUCUGGGAAACUGCCUGAUGGAGGGGGAUAACUACUGGAAACGGUAGCUAAUACCGCAUAAUGUCGCAAGACCAAAGAGGGGGACCUUCGGGCCUCUUGCCAUCGGAUGUGCCCAG